UACGGAGGGUGCAAGCGUUAAUCGGAAUUACUGGGCGUAAAGCGCACGUAGGUGGUUGACUAAGUCAGCUGUGAAAUCCCCGGGCUCAACCUGGGACUUGCAGUUGAAACUGGUGAGCUAGAGUAGGGUAGAGGGGUGUGGAAUUCCAGGUGUAGCGGUGAAAUGCGUAGAUAUCUGGAGGAACAUCAGUGGCGAAGGCGACACCCUGGACUCAUACUGACACUGAGGUGCGAAAGCGUGGGGAGCAAACAGG
rnacentral:rRNA from 1 species